rnacentral:rRNA from 1 species
CCUACGGGAGGCAGCAGUGGGGAAUAUUGGACAAUGGGGGGAACCCUGAUCCAGCCAUGCCGCGUGUGUGAAGAAGGCCCUCGGGUUGUAAAGCACUUUCAGUGAGGAAGAACGCCUGGUGGUUAAUACCCAUCAGGAAAGACAUCACUCACAGAAGAAGCACCGGCUAACUCCGUGCCAGCAGCCGCGGUAAUACGGAGGGUGCGAGCGUUAAUCGGAAUUACUGGGCGUAAAGCGCGCGUAGGUGGCUUGAUAAGCCGGUUAUGAAAGCCCCGGGCUCAACCUGGGAACGGCAUCCGGAACUGUCAAGCUAGAGUGCAGGAGAGGAAGGUAGAAUUCCCGGUGUAGCGGUGAAAUGCGUAGAGAUCGGGAGGAAUACCAGUGGCGAAGGCGGCCUUCUGGACUGACACUGACACUGAGGUGCGAAAGCGUGGGUAGCAAACAGGAUUAGAUACCCCUGUAGUC